GUCGGCAUGUCUUGAACAUGUUCUUCAUGUGAUACAGCUGGAUCCGUAGCAGCUGAAGAAAAAGACAUUGGUGGGGGGCACAGGGGAAGAGCAGGUA